GAGAUGUUGUGUAAUCCUAUAUAGAGAUUUGGUUUCUUUGUUAAAAAAACAUGCUCAUCAUAUUUAUAAAAAAUUAGCACCAUUUCUAAAAGUUUUUUUCUUAGUAGAAACAUUUUGUAUGCAAGAUGCAUAUUUAUAUAAACAAAACUUUCAGUUCAGGUAUAUCUAUCUUUUAAGCAAUUGAGUUCUAUUAGGGGCAUUAUGCACAUGCAAUAGAUACAUGAAUAUAAUAUUAUCCAUAUAUAUACCUGAAAAUAGAAUGUAGAUACUGAAUAUCAUUCCUUCAAAAGGCUACUCUAUUGCAGGUAUAUAAUGCCCCCCUGAUAGAGCUCAAUUGCUUAAAGAGUGCAUAUCUAAAUCGGGAGUUUUGGAAUGUGUCUGUAAUAUCUGCUUGUAUAAUGUUUCUAUUAACAAAAAAAUUGUAGAAAUGAAUUUAAGUUUUUAUGAUUAUGGUGAACAUGCUAUUGUAAUAAAGAAACAAAUUCUGAAUAUAAAAUUAUAUGACAUCUUUGUAAUGGCAUGCCCGUCAAUGGUAGAGUUGUAGUCGAUAGAAUCAACAAAAAACAGAGAAAUAUGUAUGGAGAUGUUAGGAGCUCUUCCUCCAACAAAAUACUAGAAUCAGAAUGAAAAUUUGAGUGAGUUUCUUUUACCUUUGAUUGGUUGUUUGGUAAGUUCGCUAAAACCACUAGUAUGGUGAUAUAGAUCGAUAUAGUAGGGCUCAUUAUCUGUAUGUCAUGGUUGUGCAAUAUCUUCUUUUGUUGAAAGACACAGUAUGAUGGUGAAAUUUCUGUACGCCCUCAAGGACACAGUAAAAACAAAUGAAUAUGUUUGGGUCCACACUUGUGAUAUUUUGGAUCAUAACGACAAUGUAUUUAGUCAUUUUCUGCUUUAGAUAAGAAAAUGUUAUUUUAAGCUUUGUAUGUCUCUCUUUUAUCUCAUUAGUUUGAGUUUUCUUUCCAAAUAUUUCCUUUCAAGUAUCUUCUUCUGCAGAUGACAAGGAGAUUUUUUUGAAAUAAUAUGAUUUUUUCAAGUGAAGUUUGCCUUGCAAAUGAGUGGUUCAAUCAUUUGAAAGUCACAAGUGAGAAUUACUUUUUGAAAUUCUAAGUUGAAAAGGGUGAUAAAGUCACAAGAGAUGCACCUGAUUUUUCAAUCCCAAUAUCUUUUGUGAAAUAUUCAUUUUUAUGAAUUUGAGGGAUCUUCCAGAGAAGAAUGUCUGUUGUAGCUUGUUCUUGUCAUUAAUCUUUGUAGUUUUGCUGCAUCUUUUUGAUGCCUUUAAUGAAAUUCUUCUUAAUAACUUCAUAAAAAAUAAUAAUAAAAUUACUUGUCAAUGAUAUAAGAAUUUACCUUUAAUCUUUUAGCCUCGUGCUGAUAACGUGUUAUAAAAUAAGAGAAAACAAGUAAAAAAAAUAGACACAAGAAAUGUAUGGAAAUAAAUGAAAGUUUUCUUAAAUGUUUCCCAAUUCUACAAUGACUUGUGUUCUUUCUCUAUUUCUUAUUUUGUAAACUAGUGGAUGGAAAUGAGUUUAAAUGGAGCAUUAUGACAUAUGGUGAUCAAAGAUGGUAAAAGGAGUUGAGGCAGACCUAAAAUCAUACAGAGGAAAGGUAUAUUGAGAGAGAUCUAAAGUCUCUAUGAACCAAUUUGGCUUUAGCAAUGAACAUAACACAACGGACACAAAAAAAAUCCUUAUAAGUUAUACCAAUUACUUGGGAUUAGGAUUAGUAGUUGUUGUUAUACCUACUUCUGAUCUUAAUUAGUUUGUCUAAAGUAUUUCAUUCUGGUCAGGAACUUACAUGUCUAUGCAGAGGUAAGUGCGAUUAGAGAUACCCGAUGGGCAAAAUAGUGUAGAAACAAGCAUUAGGAUACUCGAUAAGGCAAAAUUUGGUGUAUCUCUUCUUGAGACCAGAUUUUCACCAGAGUCUCAAGAAAAGAUAGACCAAAUUUUCAGUCCCAAGAUCUUUUUUGUGAAAGGACAGGUGCCCGCCUAUCAACAAAUGGAAUUGCCUACUUUUAAGAAAAUAUAAGUUAAUGAAAUAAAAAGGGGAAUUUUGUUGAAAUUUCUUUUGUUAGACAGUUUCUAGCAUCCUUUCCUCUUCCGCUUCCUCCCUUGAAGUUACAUGUCUGGAUGCUUCUUAUCAAGCUACACAUGUGCUGCCAUUUUCUCGCACUCUUUCGGAUACCUGUUCCAGUUGCUUUUCGUGGUUCCACUUUCCGCACUCCUUGGGAUGCCUCCUCUCCUAUUUCUGUUGCUGCUCAACAAACUAUUCCUUGGGAUGCCUCCUCCUAUUACAUAUCUUCCUUAUGAUACCACUUUCCGCACUCCUCUGGAUACCUCUGCUAUUUCAGUUCGUUCUAUUGGUGCUACGUUUCUCCUCCCCUAUCUAAGUUGACAUUGUACUGGAUGAACGAACAUGCACGAUUCUGAACGAGUUAAUACCCAUCACUUACCCUGCUCGAGGAUCCAUUAGUAAAUCAAAAUCUUCUGAAAGGGAGAUUUCCAAAGCAAGGGAGUGAAUAACAAAAGGAGAAAGAACACUAACUUUCUACGCAACCUGAGGAUCUAUCAAAAUGUUCUGGACCACCAGAGAGUGUCAAAGCACACUUUUAGAGAAAUGAAACGAUUAGAACAAAGUUUUAAUCUUGAUGUUGGGAGAAAGUCACUCGAAGAUAUAGUGACUCUAUGUGGUUUGCCUUAAAGGAAUGCUGCAACAGUCAAUGGAAAAAGUGGAAGGAAGACUAUUCUACCAACACACAAAAAAGACAGUUAAAGCUUUGGAGUUGAUUUGAUUUUGUUUAGCAAUAACUGUUUGCAACAAAUUUGUUUAUAUUUUAUUUUAAUCAUUGAUAAACUGCGCUUUAGGAUGCUGUGUAGGUACUGUUGCUUUUUAUUCUAAUGGAUUGCAUAGUAAGACCUUCACCCUCACCAAUUUUGCCAAGAUGUUUAUAUGCCUUCAUUUAUAUCAUCUAAGCAUUUGUGAUUCUGUAGUUGUCUAUUUGUUUUUUCGUUAGAUGUUAUGAAUGAAGAACCAGAUGUUUCAGAAAUAACAAUGUUGGAAUAAAUUUGUUUUCUAUUUUAUUUUAGUAAGUGGUAAGAUAAGAUUUCAAGAUACUUUCAUGUGACUAACUUAUAUCGACAUUGUACUCCUUUUUCAUGUCAUCCAUUAUGUCCUCAAGUCUAUGUAUUCUUGAUGGAUUUACGUAUUUGUCCCUUACUGAUUUUAUCAUGUAUACUUUUUUAGGAAUUCAUGCACAAGAAUCCUCUCGAAGAGUUGACCCAUCGAUCAUCCCUAGAUCGUCCUGGUCAAAGUAGGAUCCCAACAUCCGCCCUCUAUAAGUCAAAUGUUUUGGAUGAUGGGGUUUAGUAUACCUCUCAGGCACAUUUUCUCAUCUAAAGGUUGUAGAGAAGGAUGCCACAAAAGUUUCUUUGAUUGGCUUGAAAGAAAAAGAUGAAACCUGAGGGAUGCUCUAUUAGUAGGGAGGUAUGUUGUCUAAAUGACUUGUAUCUUAGUUAUUUGGUGAUUUUUUCAAAGGGACACUCUUCUUUAAGGCAUAUCUAAUAUUUAAGUGACUGUCACUUUUAGAAAUGGACCUUGAAUUCUAUCAUUUAUUUGAGCGAUGUCAUUAGGGUUAGAGUAUUGGAUAUCUGAAUUUUACUUUAUUCAUGAGCGUCCUAAAUUAUGUCACUGAUAGUGUUGCAAGAUGAGAUGACAGUCUCUUCUUUCUUCAAUUGAAUAGGUCAAUAGAUGAAAAACACAGUUCCAACACCGAUUUCUAUAAAAUUAGUGAUGAAACGUGAACACUUGUUACAAGUAAGCACUUGAAAGACGAGAUAUUGAGAUACCUUCCUUUUUCAAAAGGGGUUUUGGGAGAAGGUCCUUGACCUUAGAUGGAAAGAAUUGUGACUCGAGCUGCCUAUUUUUCAGCUUCUUUAUUGUUUUUCCUGCCAGUAUAAUAAAAUACCAUUUAAGACAGAUGUAGACUUGAAAACAGGAAUCAAUCCCACAGAUUGAACUGUCUGAUAAGUAGGUUUCUCCGGGUUCAUUUUAACAGCAUAUUCAUUCAGGAUAGACUUGCAAAACAUUGUAUCCUGACAAAGUACACAAGGUAAAAUCAAUAUUAGAAAUAUGAAAAUGGGAUAUAUAAUUAGGAUUGUGAGAGAACAUUUUUCUAUUCCAGCUUUGGUAUAAAUGAAUCUAGAAAAAAAAUUAUAUGGUUGAUUUGACCAAUAGUUGAAAUCGAUUUGGAUCAAUUGAUCUUUGAGACAUUUGUUUUGGAUCUUCAGAAACUAUUAAAAUAAAGAACCAAUAUGCUAGACUUAAGAUCUAAACACCAGAAUGUGCCUGUUAAAUAUCCAAAUGUCAUACUAGUACAUAGACUAGUAGUAUGACAUUCAUGGAAAAGCUUUCAGUUAGAGUUGUUGUACUAGUAUGACAUUUGGAUAUUUGACGGGCAUAUCCUGGUGUUUGGAUCUUAAGUCUAGCAUAUUGGUUAUGUGUUUUUAUAGUUUCUAAAGAUCCAAAAAUGAUGUCCCAAAGACCAGUUGUUCAGAAUUGGUUUGAACUAUUGGUCAAAUCAAACAUAUAAUUUUUUUCUAGAUCCAUUUACACCAAAGCUGGAACAGGAAAAUGUUCUCUCUCAGUCCUAAUUAUAUAUCCCCUUUUAAUAUUUCUAAUACUGAUUUUACCUUAGGUACUUUGUCUAGGAUACGAUGUUUUGCAAGUCUAUCCUGAAUGAAUAUGCUGUUAAAAUGAACCUGGAGAAACCUACUUAUCAGACAGUUCAAUUUGUGGGAUUCAUUCAUGUUUUCAAGUCUACAUCGGUUUUAAAUGGUAUUUCAUUAUACUGCAGGAAAAACAAUAAAGAAGUUGAAAAAUUGGCAGCUCGAGUCACAGUUCUUUCCAUCUAAGGUCAAGCACCUUCUCCAAAAACCUCUUCUGAAAAAGGAAGGGGAUCUCAAUAUCUAGUCUUUCAAGUGUUCACGUUUCAUCACUAAUUUUAUGGAAAUUGGUGCUGGAAUUGUGCUUUUCAUCUAGUGACCUAUUCAAUUGGAGAAAGAAGAGAUUGUCAUCUCAUCUUGCAACACUAUCAGUGAAAUAAUUCAGGAUGAUCGAGAAUCAACUAAAAUUUUGAUAUCCAGUAAUUCAACCCUAAUGACAUUGCUCAAAUAAAUUAUAAAAUUCAAGGUCCAUUUCUAAAAGUGAACGUCACUUAAAAAUCAAAUAUGCCUUAAAGAAGAGUGUCCCUUUGAAAAAAUCACCAAGAACUAAGAUACAAGUCAUUUAGACUCUCUUAUAAAACUAAACAACAUACCUCACUAUUAAUAGAGCAUUAUUAAAUAAGUAGAAGAUUAGUUAGUGAUUAGAUGUGUAGUUAGUUAAUAGACUGCAGUUAGUUAUAACUAACUUUACUGUAGAAAGUUAGUUAUAACAAUACAAUACUGUACAAUACUGUAGCUGAAUGUAUAAAAUGAUGUGUACUUGGCAUUUUACAUAUAUGAAAAUAUCUUCUCUUCUCCUCCAAUUUCAAAAUGCUCUCUACAUGAUUAUCAAUCUGUUCUAGUAGAAGAAAAUUAACAUGGUAUCAGAGCCCAGAUUGUGAGGAAUUGAUCUGCGUAGAAGAUAGAUAAGGAUUACGAAGCUGUAGAAGAAGCUUCAAAAUCAAUCCAGAAUGACGGGAAACGAAAUUGCAUCGGCAACAGGGAGUGAAGUUACAACCCUAAAUCACAAUCAUCCAUUGUAUCUCCAAGCUUUAGAUGCUCCUGAAAUUGUUUUGGUGCCAAUCAAACUAACAGGGCCAGAAAACUAUGCUCUGUGGAGUAGAUCAAUGAAAUUAGCUCUUAGAGAAAAAAGGAAAACUUGGAUUCAUUGAUGGAUCUUGUGCGAAAGAAUCUUAUAAAGGAGUAUUAGAAGAACAAUGGGAGAAGUGUAACACGAUCGUGUUAUCAUGGAUUGCGAGCACUGUUACAGGUGAACUGCUACUAGGGAUAAUAUAUGCUUCAAAUGCAAAAAAGGUUUGGGCAGAUUUUGAGGAAAGGUUCGACAGAUCAGAUCUCAGUAGAAUCUAUCAUUUGUGGUCUGAAAUUGCAGCUCUCAAACAAGGUAUUGACUCUGUGACUUCAUACUAUUCAAAAUUGAGGGACUUAUGGGCUGAAUUGGAUGUGAUGAUCCCGUCACCUGGGUGUGCAUGUGAGGAUUCAGCUAAGUAUGUGGAGCAUUUGAGGUCACAAAGAUUGUUGCAGUUCCUAAUGGGAUUAAAUGAAAGCUUUGGUCAUAUUAGGAGUAGUAUCUUGGCUAGAAAGCCUUUUAUAACUGUCAAUGAAGCAUAUACAGUAGUAGCACAAGAGGAAAGUCAAAGAACACUAGGAGUUUUGGACAAAACAAGAGAUCCUUUAACACUCUUAGCAGGAAUAACUCAAGGAGGCAGACCUAAACCAAAGAAAUUUGUGCCACCAAGUACAAUAUGUGAUCAUUGUGGAUUCAAAGGGCAUUUUAAGGCUGACUGUUACAGGUUGGUAGGCUAUCCGCCAGAUUUUCAAAGCAAGAGGAAAGGAUCUUAUGGUUUCAAUGAAAGGAGAGGAACUGAAGGUUUCAAAUCUGAUGUCAAGCCAAAUGCACAUUUCACUAGGAAUGCUGAUGACUUCCCAAAGGCUACUAAGAAUCAGAUGUCAUCAUCUCAAUAUGAGGAUCUGGUGAACAGGAUGGAUAAGGCAAGCACAUCAGACUGUGUUGCUAACAUGUCAGGUUUUGCUUCCUUAGAUUCCCAAACAGGUCAAGUCUGUGAAUGGAUAAUUGAUAGUGGAGCCACACAUCAUAUUACACCUAAUGAGGAAUUAUUAAUUGCUAGUAGAAGAAUACAAGACACUAAUACUGAUGGAGUCCAGGUGCCUACAGGAAAUAGAUGUAACAUCAUAAAUAUUGGGAUCACAAAGGUUUUAGAGGGGCAUGAACUUAAGAAUGUAUUGCAUGUACCAGACUUCAAGUUUAGUCUGCUAUCAGUCUCGAAACUAACCAGGGAACUAGCCUGUUCAGUUUCCUUUUACCCUGACUUUUGUGUGUUUCAGGGACUUUACGAUGGCAAGGUAUUGGGGAUUGAUAAAGAAAAGGAAGAGCUAUACAUACUAAAGAAUCAAAUAAAGCCAGCAAUGCAUGCUAUGGUUGCUGAGAAUAAAGAUGGAGACACGAAGCUAUGGCACUUAAGGCUAGGACAUGCUUCAAUAGGUGUGAUGCAGAAUAUUCAGUCAUUAAAGCAUCUCUCAGACAGAAAUGUACAACACAACUGUGAGAUUUUCCUUUUAGCUAAACAAUGUAGACUAAAGUUUCUAGUUAGUGAAAGCAAAACAUUUAGAGCAUUUGAAUUAGUUCAUGUUGAUGUUUGGGGACCCUACAGACAACCUACUUUUGACAAGAAGCAUUACUUUGUCACUAUAGUAGAUGACUACAGUAGAUACACUUGGCUUUGUCUCAUUCACUCUAAAAGUGAAGUCAUUGUAGUACUCAGGGAUUUCAUUGCUUUAAUAAAGAAUCAGUUUGCAAUGUUUGUGAAAAUUUUAAGAUCUGACAAUGGAACUGAGUUCUUUAAUUCUUCAGUUACUGAAUUGCUUGCUUCAAAUGGUAUAAUACAUCACAGUAGUUGUGGUUACACUCCUCAGCAGAAUGGUACAAUAGAAAGAAAACACAUACACAUAUUAGAAGUGGCCAGGGCAUUAAGGUUUCAAAGCUUCUUUCCUAUUCAAUUCUGGGGUGAGUAUGUUAGGACUGCUAUAUAUCUGAUCAAUAAGCUGCCUACUGGUGUGUUAAAAGGGAGAUCACCUUAUGAAAUGUUGCAUCAGAAGCCAUCUGGAGUUAGUCAUUUAAGGGUAUUUGGUUGCAUAUGUUAUUCAACUAGAUUACCUAAAGGGGACACGUUUGCACCUAGAGCUAGGAAGUCAUUGUUCCUAGGAUAUUCUGAGACUCAGAAAGGGUACAGGUUAUAUGAUCUAAUUGAAAAAGUUUUCUUUGUGAGUAGAGAUGUUAUAUUUAGAGAGGACAUUUUUCCUUUACAAACUAAGGCAUUGCCUGCAGAGUUUGAUAUGUUUGAGUUAGACAAAUCAGACUUGAUUCCUACUUUUGUCAAUGAGCAUAUAGAGCCUGUUAUAUUAGACACAACAGCAGCAGAUCAUUUUACUGAGUUCAGUGUAGAGGAUAACAUAGGAAAUGUUGCAGUUCCUGAUGUCACAAAUGAAGUCACUGAAGUUGAUACUUCAACAUAUGAAGGCCAUACAAUCACACCACCAGAACCACAACCAGUUAUUCCACACAAGACCAGACCCCCUAGACAUACUAAGCCAACUGGUUGGCUUGAUGACUAUAUCACUGCUUCAAAACCUUCUGCAAGCUGCAUUUACCCUAUCUCAAACUAUCUCCAUUAUCCCCACUUGUCCACCCCUUACCAAGCAUACUUGGGUACUUUCUCACAAUCAGUUGAGCCUACUUCUUUUAGUGAAGCAUCUAAGGAUGAUAGAUGGGUUGCAGCUAUGUCUAAUGAAAUUGCUGCAUUAGAGAGUAAUCAAACCUGGGAGAUAGUUGACUUACCACCACGAAAGCAUGCAAUUGGUUCUAAAUGGGUGUUUAAGAUUAAGCACAAAGUUGAUGGGUCCAUAGACAAAAACAAAGCAAAGUUGGUAGCAAAAGGGUAUAAUCAAAAGGAAGGGUUAGACUAUCAUGAGACUUUUUCACCAAUUGCAAAGAUGGUGAUAGUGAGAACAAUCAUAACUAUUGCAGCCUCAAAGGAUUGGCCUUUGAUUCAAAUGGAUGUCAAUAAUGCCUUUCUACAGGGUGAUCUAUAUGAAGAUGUUUAUAUGUUCUUACCACAGGGUUUUCACAGACAGGGGGAGACUAAAGUGUGCAAACUGAUCAAGUCUUUGUAUGGUUUGAAAUAGACUUCUAGGCAAUGGAAUAUAAAAUUGACCACUGCUUUACUAGAAGCAGGUUAUGUACAUAGUUCACAUGAUCAUUCUCUGUUUACAAAACAAUCAGGGUCUGAUAUAGUGAUAGUUCUUGUAUAUGUUGAUGAUUUACUGAUUACAGGAAAUAACCAAGCUCUAAUUGAUGAUGCUCAAAAGACUCUACACAACAAGUUUAAGGUGAAAGAUCUAGGACAACUCAGAUACUUCCUAGGAAUUGAGAUAUUAAGGUCAGACAAGGGGAUAUUACUCAAUCAAAGGAAGUACACUUUGGAAAUUUUAUCCAAAGUUGGAUUAAGAGGAGCUAAGACAGCAUCCACUCCAAUGGAGAUGAACAUAAAGCUUACUACCGUAGAUUAUGAUUCAAUGGUUGGGAAUGUGAAUGAUCCUAUCCUAAUUGAUGUGCAUAGCUACCAGUAGCUGAUAGGGAAAUUGAUUUAUUUGACAAUCACCAGGCCUGACAUUUGCUUUGCAGUUCAGGUUCUUAGUCAAUUCAUGCAACAUCCAAAAAGGUCACAUUGGGAUGCAGCACUAAGAGUUCUUAGAUACUUGAAAGGGGCACCUGGACAAGGAAUAUUGCUGAAGAAAGGAUCAAUGACAAGCUUAACAGCAUUCUGUGAUUUAGAUUGGGCAGUAUGCCCCAACACAAGAAGGUCAGUAACAAGAUAUAUAAUCAUGCUUGGGGAGUCUAUGGUUUCAUGGAAAUCAAAGAAACAACAUACAGUGAGUAGAAGCUCAGCAGAAGCAGAAUACAGGAGUAUGACAGGGGCAGUAUCAGAAAUUAUAUGGUUAGUAGGGUUGCUGAAGGAUCUAAAGGUUGACAUAAUCACUCCAGUCAGACUAUGGUGUGACAACAAAGCUGCUAUGAAAAUUGCUUCUAACCCAAUGUUUCAUGAACGAACCAAACACAUCGAGAUAGAUUGUCAUUUUGUGAGAGAGAAACUCAAAUAUGGACUGAUCAAGCCUGAGCAUAUUGGAAUCAAGUCACAGUUGGCAGAUUUACUUACAAAAGGAUUAGGGACAGUACAACAUCACAAUCUUCUUUCCAAGCUAGGAGUUCUUGAUGUCUUCCAUCCUAGCUUGAGGAGGAGUAUUAAAUAAGUAGAAGAUUAGUUCGUGAUUAGAUGUGUAGUUAGUUAAUAGACUGCAGUUAGUUAUAACUAACUUUACUGUAGAAAGUUAGUUAUAACAAUACAAUACUGUAGCUGAAUGUAUAAAAUGAUGUGUACUUGGCAUUUUACAUAUAUGAAAAUAUCUUCUCUUCUCCUCCAAUCUCAAAAUGCUCUCUACAUGAAUAUCAAUCUGUUCUAGUAGAAGAAAAUUAACAAGCAUCCCUCAGGUUUCAUUUUUUUUUUCAACCCAAUCAAAUCAACUUUCGCGAUGUCAUGCUCUACAACUUUUAGAUGAGAAAAUGUGUUAGGAAAGGUAUACCGAACCCCAUCAUCCAAAACAUUUGAUUUAUAGAGGGCACAUGCUGGGAUCCUACAUUGACCAGGAUGAUCUAGGGAUGAUCGCUUGGUAAACUCUUGAAGAGGAUUCUUGUGCAUGAAUUUCUAAUAAAGUAUACAAUGUAAAAUCAGUUAGGGACAAAUACAUAAAUCCAUCAAGAAUACAUAGACUUGAGGAUAUAAUGGAUGACAUGAAAAAGAAGUACAACGUCGAUAUAAGUUAGUAACCUGAAAGCAUCUCGAAGCAACAAUUAUUGUUAUUUCUGAAAAACCGGGUUCUUCACUCAUAACAUCUAACAAAAAAAAAACUAAUAGACAACUACAGAAUCACAAAAACUGAAAUGAUAUUAAUGAAGGCAUACAUACAUCUUUGUAAAAUUAGUGAGGGUGAAGGCCCAACCAUGCAAUCCAUCAGAAGAAAAAAAAAGCAACAAUACCUACACAACAUCCUAAAGCUCAGUUUAUCACUGAUUAUAAUCAAAUAUAAACUAAUUUGUUGCAAAUAGUUAUUGCUAAAAAAAAAUCAGAUCAAGUCCAAAGUUUCACCUAUCUUUUUUGUGUCUUGGUUGAACAGUCUUCCUCCCACUUUUGCGAUUGACUUUUGCAGCAUUCCUCUUAGGCAAACCACAUAGAGUCACUGUGUCUUCAGGUGACUUUCUCCCAGCAUCAAGAUUAAACUUUGUUCUAAUCAUUUCAUUGCUCUAAAAAUGUGCUUUAGUCACUCUUUGGUCCAGAACAUUCAGAUAGAUCCUCAGGCUGGGUAGGAAGUUGGUGUUCUUUCUCCUUUUGUUAUUCACUCCCUUGCUCUGGAAAUCUCCCUUCCAGAAGAUUCUGAUUUACUAAUAGAUCCUCGGGCAGGGUAAGCGAUGGGUAUUAACCCAUUCAGCGUCGUGCAUAUGUGUAGUCGCAUCACUAGCUACACAUGUCCAUUCAUCAGGUACAAUGCCAACUUAAAUAUGAGAGAAGGAAAGCGACACUACUAGAACGAACUAAAAUAGAAGAGGUAACCAGAGGAGUGCGGAAAGCGGUAUCACAAGGAAGAUAUGUAAUAAGAGGAGGCAUCCCAAGGAGUAGCUUGAUGAGCGGCAACUGAAAUAGGAGAGGAGGCAUCCCAAGGAGUUCAGAAAGUGGCACCACAAGAAGCAACCGGAACAUGUAUCUGAAAGAAUGCGAGAAACGACACCACAAGGAAGAUCCUACACAUUUUUUUACCUCCAGAUUUGCAAGUAUUGAAUCGCCUCUAAUGAUAUUCUGAUAACAGUUUUUUUCGUCAAGUCCUGAAAUGUUUUUGUUAUAAGUAUUGAAUCCUCUAUGUGUGAUUGUUAGAGACUUGUUUCCUCCUUAUAUUUGGGGUAUUCAGUUUGUCAUUUUUGCAAAUUCUCAAGGCGUUCGGGCCAGUCCCCAGAGAAAGCAAAUAAAGGCAUGAUUUUGGCACUGUUGCUGAAAUCAUUCUUAAUUUGCUGGAUGCUGAGUUGCUGUUUUUGAUGACUGCCUAUAUGUGUUUUGGAAAGGGUUCCAAUAAUUCUGCUCUUUGGUUGCUUCAUCUGUAUUCUCUAACUAACUUUUCAUGAAUUUCAGGCUAGCUAGCUACCUUAUUCAGGGGAGACGAUUAUCUGAAAAAAAUCAGGAAACAGGACAUAUUUGCCAGUAUGGGGGCGAGCCAGAUUAUGAUAGCAUCUCCUGCAUCUGUUAUGGAUGUCGAACUUGGAUGAGUAAAUUUUCCUUUUUUUGCUGGCGAAUUUUGAAUGAAAUAGUGGUUAGAUUUCUUCCAAUGUGUUUGAUAUGUUAUUUUGUAUCUAGGUCUAGCUAUUAGUAAUAUAUGAAUUUGUUAGGGAGAAAUUUAUGUUUUAUUUUAAUUUUAUGGAAUGAUUAAUUGUGCAAAAUUUAGUUAUUCAUGUAUUAUUCUACUUCUA
rnacentral:lncRNA from 1 species